rnacentral:rRNA from 1 species
CCCUAUGGGGUGGAGCAGGGGCGAAAACUUCACACUGCAGGAAACUGUGAUGAGGGAACUCCUAGUGCAUGCACUAUGUGUAUGUAGAUCCUACUCUUAACAAGUAGAGGGAAAGGGCUGGGAAAGACCGGUGCCAGCCGCCGCGGUAAUACCGGCAGCUCAAGUGGUCGUCGCUUUUAUUGGGCCUAAAACGUCCGUAGCCUGUCUGGUAAAUCUGUGGGUAAAUCAACCUGCUCAACGGGUUGAAUUCUGCAGAGACUGCCAGACUAGGGACCGGGAGAGGUGUGGGGUACUCGAGGGGUAGGGGUAAAAUCCUGUCAUCCUUCGAGGACCACCAGUUGCGAAGGCGCCACACUGGAACGGAUCCGACGGUCAGGGACGAAGCCUAGGGGCACGAACCGGAUUAGAUACCCGGGUAGUCCUAGGUGUAAACGCUGUGAACUUGGUGUCGGGGGUCCGCAAGGGGUCCCCGGUGCCGGAGUGAAGAUGUUAAGUUCACUGCCUGGGGAGUACGGUCGCAAGGCUGAAACUUAAAGGAAUUGGCGGGGGAGCACUGCAACGGGAGGAGCGUGCGGUUUAAUUGGAUUCAACGCCGGAAAACUCACCAGGGCCGACUGUUAGAUGAAGACCAGCGUAAUGAGCUUGUCGGAUUUCACAGAGGUAGUGCAUGGCCAA